rnacentral:rRNA from 1 species
GACGAAGGGGGCUAGCGUUGUUCGGAAUUACUGGGCGUAAAGGGCGCGUAGGCGGAUAGUUUAGUCAGAGGUAAAAGCCCAGGGCUCAACCUUGGAACUGCCUUUGAUACUGGCUAUCUUGAGUUCGGGAGAGGUGAGUGGAAUGCCGAGUGUAGAGGUGAAAUUCGUAGAUAUUCGGCGGAACACCAGUGGCGAAGGCGACUCACUGGCCCGAUACUGACGCUGAGGCGCGAAAGCGUGGGGAGCAAACAGGG